rnacentral:rRNA from 1 species
AGAAUCAACGCUGGCGGCGUGCCUAACACAUGCAAGUCGAACGAGAAAGUGGAGCAAUCCAUGAGUAAAGUGGCGACCGGGUGAGUAACACGUGACUAACCUACCUUUGAGUGGGGGAUAACAUCGGGAAACCGAUGCUAAUACCGCAUAACAUCGCAAGAUCAAAGCAGCAAUGCGCUUAAAGAGGGGGUCGCGGCUGAUUAACUAGUUGGCGGGGUAACGGCCCACCAAGGCGAAGAUCGGUAUCCGGCCUGAGAGGGCGCACGGACACACUGGAACUGAAACACGGUCCAGACUCCUACGGGAGGCAGCAGUGGGGAAUUUUGCGCAAUGGGGGAAACCCUGACGCAGCAACGCCGCGUGGAGGAUGAAGCCCCUUGGGGCGUAAACUCCUUUCGACCAAGACGAUAAUGACGGUACUGGUGGAAGAAGCACCGGCUAACUCUGUGCCAGCAGCCGC